rnacentral:rRNA from 1 species
GACUUCUGGUGUAAUGUGCCUGGCCCGCGGCUCUUUAGGCUUGUGAGUGCCGGUGCGCGUUUACCAUCCUUCUGGGGAACGAGUCUACCCUUUACUGGGCCGGAUUCGGAAUCCAGAUCAUUUACUUUGAAAAAAUUAGAGUGUUUAAAGCAGGCUAUUGCUAUGAAUACAUUAGCAUGGAAUAAUAAUCUAGGACUUCGGUUCUAUUUUGUUGGUUUCUAUAACUGAAGUAAUGAUUGAUAGGGAUAGUUGGGGGUGCUAGUAUUGGCCGGUCAGAGGUGAAAUUCUUGGAUUCGGUCAAGACUAACUUAUGCGAAAGCAUU